rnacentral:misc_RNA from 1 species
AACGCACAUUGCGCCCUUUGGUAUUCCGAAGGGCAUGCCUGUUCGAGCGUCAUUAUCACCCCUCAAGCCUGGCUUGUCAUUGGAUUUUUGGUCGUUAUAAGACUGAUCCCAAAGAUAAUGACGGUGUCGAUCUGACCCUAGACGCAACGAGCUCUCGUAGCACGCGUUGAACGGUCGAGCGACCCGGUCUAUAACCAUUAUUUUCUAAGGUUGACCUCGGAUCAGGUAGGAAUACCCGCUGAACUUAA